GAUGAACGCUGGCUGCGUGCCUAAUACAUGCAAGUCGAGCGAACAGACGAAGAGCUUGCUCCUCUGACGUUAGCGGCGGACGGGUGAGUAACACGUGGAUAACCUACCUAUAAGACUGGGAUAACUUCGGGAAACCGGAGCUAAUACCGGAUAAUAUAUUGAACCGCAGGGUUCAAUAGUGAAAGACGGUUUUGCUGUCACUUAUAGAUGGAUCCGCGCCGCAUUAGCUAGUUGGUAAGGUAACGGCUUACCAAGGCGACGAUGCGUAGCCGACCUGAGAGGGUGAUCGGCCCCACUGGAACUGAGACACGGUCCAGACUCCUACGGGAGGCAGCAGUAGGGAAUCUUCCGCAAUGGGCGAAAGCUUGACGGAGCAACGCCGCGUGAGUGAUGAAGGUCUUCGGAUCGUAAAACUCUGUUAUUAGGGAAGAACAAAUGUGUAAGUAACUAUGCACGUCUUGACGGUACCUAAUCAGAAAGCCACGGCUAACUACGUG
rnacentral:rRNA from 1 species